CGAGAUUAAGCUGUGCCUUCAGGAGUAUAAGGGAUGGUGAAAGAUGGGAAGGAGAUGGUGAUGUGUGCAGGAGGUAAUGGCAUGAGCUUUGGUGCAGCACAGCCGGGACAUUUCAGGCGUACAAGGAAUGGGGACCAUAUUUCCAGGCCAGACAGGGAUCAUGGGCAAAAUGCUGAAGGCUCUGAGAUGCUUAGAGAAGACUGAAGAGAAUGACUGGGGAGCACAAAGUGUCAGAAACCUAAAAAGCCCAAGGCAUAUGGAGUUCCCCAGCCAACUGCACUUGUGACCUAAGCAGCUCUACCCACCCAAGACUAGGUGAAACGCGGAUGUUUCUACGCAAGAGAGAAGGCUGUAGAGGAAGAGCAGAACUUGAAGAAAUUGAUAUUACUGUGGAAAUAAACAGAAGACUCAGUACUCAUUUCCAGAGAACCUAGAGGACCCAUUCUGACUAGUUAACAAAGCGGCAGCAAAGCGGUAAAAUAGUGACAAAGCGUCUGGGUUCCCCCUCCUCUCGAAAUAGUAUGAAAGGCACCUCUCGGGUAAAGUUUGGGCAGAGCCGGAGAGGCAGCCGAGCUACCCUAGGCUUUCAAGCUCGCACGUCCCACCGGAGCCUCUCACUGAUUCCCCGCCGCCACCACCGUUCCCUGAGCCGCGAAAGACAUGAGCCAGGCCCGCUGGACCGGGAAGAGAACAGAUAUGCUCCCGGAGAUCGCUGCCGCUGUAGGUUUCCUCUCCAGCCUCCUCAGGACCCGGGGCUGCGUGAGCGAGCAGCGACUCAAGGUUUUCAGCGGGGCUCUCCAGGAGGCACUGACAGAGCACUACAAACACCACUGGUUUCCUGAAAAGCCAUCCAAGGGCUCUGGCUACCGCUGCAUUCGCAUCAACCACAAAAUGGACCCCAUCAUCAGUAAAGUGGCUAGCCAGAUUGGACUCAGUCAGCCCCAGCUGCACCAGCUGCUGCCCAGCGAGCUGACCCUGUGGGUGGACCCCUAUGAAGUGUCCUAUCGCAUCGGGGAGGAUGGCUCCAUCUGUGUCCUGUACGAGGAGGCCCCGGUGGCCACCUCCUAUGGGCUCCUCACCUGCAAGAACCAAAUGAUGCUGGGCAGGAGCAGCCCCUCGAAGAACUACGUCAUGGCGGUCUCCAGUUAGAUCCCCUGUGGCCGCCACCUGGCACUCUACUGUACUCAUUCUGCCUGCCGUGACAACAGGCCAUUGCAUACCUCAACCUGGGGAACUGUAUUUUAAAUGAAGAGCUAUUUAUAUAUAUAUUAUUUUUUUUUUUAAGAAAAGAGGAGAAAAAAAAAAACCAAAAGAUUUUUUUUAAGAAAAAAAUCCUUAAAGGGAGCUGCUUGGAAGUGGCCUCCCCAGGUGCCUUUGGAGAGAAUCGUUGUGCGCUUGAGUCUGGGAGCCAGUGUCUGCCUAUGGGAGGGGGGAAAGUUCAGGGGGCGGGUCUGGUCAAGGUGAUGGGGGAGAGGCUUGGCUAGCACCCCAGGAAGUUGUGAGAAGGAGCAAGCAAGGUUAGCAACUGUGAAUGAGAGAGGUCAGGAUCUGUCCUGGAUGGAGAAGAGAGGCUGAGUUCUAACCUCUCCCUCUUCUAACCAGGACACCUGCAUCCCCAGCCCCUCUCUUACUCAGGGGCAUUCAAACCUGGACUUAAAUUAUGCUAUAUUGCCUAAUCUUUCUCUUUUAUUUUUCUAAUGAGAUCCUAGGCAGAGAGUGAAAAAGCCUCUCUUGAUUCCUUCUGUCCUGAACAGUUUUUCUUAAAAUCAUGACUUAUUUCUAAUUCUAUUCUCAGGGGCCUAUGGAUGUUGCUACCCACCAAGAAUAUAAAGCUUUUUGUUUGGGGGUUCAGGGGAGUGAGGCAGGGGUUGCAGGUUAUUGGAGUUGGGACAGAAGGGUACUCUGCACGAAAUCUUUGCCUUGCUAUGUGCUGCUCUAUGUGUACAUGUGGUAAUUUUUUUUUUUUUUUUUUUUUUUUGGAACUACGUGAAAGUCCUGGCGAUGCUACCAUUAUCCCUUGGAGAGGUGGCUCAAAAGUUACAGGGAACUCCACAUCCUUGAUUACUGCCUUCUUUUUAAAAGCACAACACUCCUCUCUAACUCUCCCUGCUCCUCUCCCCUCCUGGUUGGGUCAUGCAGUUACCCUGUUUUCUAGGACAAAAGUUCUCAGUCACUGUGCAAUAUGGCCUCUUGGGUCCCAGGAGGGUCUGGAGGAGAACUGGCUCUUACAACCUUCUGGUGCCUUGGCAGGCUUAGGGAACCAUCUCUCCCUCUGUCCUUGGGACUAUGGCUGGAUCCUCAGCCUUGCAGUAUUCCUUGGCCGAAUGGGAGAAUGCCCCAAGUUCUGCAGGACUACUUGGUAUUUUUGUAGGGCUGACACUAAAAGCCAAACCUUGGGCAUUGUUUUUUUCUUCCCCGUGCUCAGAGCACCUGUGGGAGAUGUUGCCGUCUCUCAGUACAAUCCAAAUUUGUCUGUAGACUUGUGCAAUAUUUACUGUUUUGGGUUGCAGAAAAAUGCAAAACUACACUGGGAAGAAAUCCUCUUCCUUCAGGUUUUCAGUGGUAUUAGUGAGGGGUCCUCAGAAGGCCUUGAGUAUCGCAAACCCAAGACCAUCUCAAGAAGGAUGGAGCUAGAACAUCUGGUCAACCUGGCUACCCUCCUGCCAUUGCCCCUUGUGGAGAAAACUUCCUCCCCACUGCCAGUCCCCUUUCCUGGAUUUCUUAACUACUCAGUUCUGAUUCAAAGGUGCUAUUUACCAAACACUUUCCCUACCCAUUCCUGCCAGUUCUGCCUCUUCAACGUUCCAGAUCCCCAGCUACCAUCCCAGCCCCUGUUUCCAGUCUUUAUUGCUUUAAAGGUAACUUUGGGCCCACAGACCCAAGAGCUAAUUUUCUGGCCUGUGGGUUGAAACAAAGCUGUGAAUCACUGCAGAUUAUGUUGUUGCAUCUUGUUGGCAAACAGGCCCCUGCCUUUUUAUAAGCAGCCUCAUAGUCUCAUGCUUAAUCUUUUCUCUCUUCUUUUUGAUGUUCACUUUAAAAUCAACAAAACACCCAGAGCUGGACUGUUGAGCAGGCCUGUCUCUCCUAUUAAGUAAAAAUAAAUAAUAGUAGUUUGUAAGCUAUUCUGAUAGAAAAGACAAAGGUUACUAAUUGUAUAAUAGUGUUUUAUAUGGAAGAAUGUACAGGUUUAUGGACAAAUGUACACCUUUUUU
rnacentral:lncRNA from 1 species